rnacentral:rRNA from 1 species
CAGGAUGAACGCUAGCGACAGGCUUAACACAUGCAAGUCGAGGGGCAGCGGGGGAUGCGUUCGCGCAUUCUGCCGGCGACCGGCGCACGGGUGAGUAACACGUAUGCAACCUGCCCCGUCCAGGGGGAUAAUCGGCGGAAACGCCGUCUAAUACCGCGUAUAUCGGUACCGGGCAUCCGGGAUUGAAGAAAGGGCCUUAGGGUCCGGGACGGGAUGGGCAUGCGGCGCAUUAGGAAGUUGGCGGUGUAACGGACCACCAAUCCGUCGAUGCGUAGGGGUUCUGAGAGGAAGGCCCCCCACACUGGUACUGAGACACGGACCAGACUCCUACGGGAGGCAGCAGUGAGGAAUAUUGGUCAAUGGGCGGGAGCCUGAACCAGCCAAGUCGCGUGAGGGAAGAAGGUACUGAGUAUUGUAAACCUCUUUUGCCAGGGGACAAAGGCGGCCACGGGUGGCCGUAAGAGGGUACCUGGAGAAAAAGCAUCGGCUAACUCCGUGCCAGCAGCCGCGGUAAUACGGAGGAUGCGAGCGUUAUCCGGAUUUAUUGGGUUUAAAGGGUGCGCAGGUGGCGUGUCAAGUCAGCGGUAAAAUGUCGGGGCUCAACCCCGGCCGGCCGUUGAAACUGGCGUGCUCGAGUUGGAGAGAAGUAUGCGGAAUUCGUGGUGUAGCGGUGAAAUGCAUAGAUAUCACGAAGAACCCCGAUUGCGAAGGCAGCAUACCGGCUCCACACUGACGCUGAGGCACGAAAGCGUGGGUAUCGAACAGGAUUAGAUACCCUGGUAGUCCACGCAGUAAACGAUGA